CGUCUUAGUGGACCGCUCUCUCACUCUCUCUCAUCUGCACCACUUCCUCGUCGAAUGAAACAAAUUCACUCACCACGGAUGGGUGAUUCUCUCACCUUCUCGAUCUGCCUCUACAUUCUUUUGCUGAAUCUGUUUUCCCUCAAACCCUCGUUUUCUCCACAGCCCCUCUUGCUCUUUUUCUCCGGUCUUGAUGUCACCCACCAAAUUGAACUUCGAAGAACUUCAUGGCCCUCGGGUUGACUUGGAUUCAGGGAUUAUUCUUUUUGGGUAAUCUCAAUUUAAGUCUCCUCUCUUGUCGAACCCGAUGAUUCAGAUUCGAUGGCCGGGUCAUUUGUGUGAGGCUCGUCCGAGCGGCAUGCGAAGGCACUUGAUCGAAGGAGCAGUAGCAACAUGUUCCCUUCCACCUCUAUCGCUCAUUCUGAUGAAUAUUACAAAUCUGAUCAAAGAAAGCAUAAGAAUGGGCUACAAUGAUUUUGGAGAUUUCCAUUAUUCUCAUGGCAACUUGGGGAUGCUUUUAAGAGCUAUGUUUGUACUCCUGAUUAUUGUCCUACAUCAAAGCAUACUGUUCAUAUGUGCAUGUGUUCCAUUCUGGUCAGCAUAGAGAUGGGUCAAUUUACUCAUGUCGCAAGCAAUGUUAGAAAAGCAUAACAAACACUAGAAGCUAUGUCGCAAGCUAUGAUAAUCUUCACAAGGACUUAAAAAUUUCAAUAAAGCUGUCAGGGUACUUAUCAUUUGCCUUAAGAAGAUUGAUAAUGACAACUAUCUUGAGAAAAUGAUAGAUCAAGGCUUUUGAGUAGCAGAUGAUUAGAUUAAAGCCCUGAAGUCUGGUUCCACCUCUCUCUCUCUCUCGCUCUCUCUCUCUCUCUCCCUCUCUCUCUCUCUCUCUCUCUCCCCUUCUCCUUAGUGUGUACCAAUGCAUUAAUUGAAGCCCUUAUGGGUCUUUCUCUAUUUGUUAUUUCAAAUUUACUUAGAUUACUUUUGAUGCUUCCUGCUUGAAU